UCAUUGAUUUCUCCCUUCUGAUGAAUCAUGAUGUCAUUAAUUUGAUGUUGUGGGGAGUCAGGACUGUUACUUUGAAAAAAUUAGAGUGUUUAAAGCAAGCACGCGCUUGAAUACAUCAGCAUGGAAUAAUGAAAUAGGACGUUCGGUUCUAUUUUGUUGGUUUCUAGGAUCAACGUAAUGAUUAAUAGGGAUAGUUGGGGGCAUUAGUAUUCAAUUGUCAGAGGUGAAAUUCUUGGAUUUAUUGAAGACUAACUACUGCGAAAGCAUUUGCCAAGGAUGUUUUCAUUAAUCAAGAACGAAAGUUAGGGGAUCGAAGACGAUCAGAUACCGUCGUAGUCUUAACCAUAAACUAUGCCGACUAGGGAUCGGAUGAUGUUAAUUUUUUAAUGACUCAUUCGGCGCCUUACG
rnacentral:rRNA from 1 species